GCAUCAGGGACACAUGGCCAGUUUGGCCACAUUUACCCUUCUGCCUGGGCCAUUAGACUGAGACACUAGACUCCCUUUCGGGCACCUCUUAAGCACAGAAAAUCCUGAAUUUGUAAAGGAGAGGCUUCUGGAGGUAGGAUAGUUUGGACUUCUGGGAUUUCUAUUACUGGUUUAUGAGGGCUCAAGCAUUUGCACUCUAGGGAUGAACGGGGAGGCACAACGUUUGUACCCCAAACUGUGUAGGAGGCAUCCUGGUCACACAAGAGAAGCAUGUAUGAGCUACAGUAGCAUGAAGCCAGGGGUAAUGAAUUCUGUAAGAGGAGGUGUUGGAGGAAGACUUCUGAGAGGUCAGGCCUGAACAGGUUUUAGAAGUAUGAGUAGGCGUUUACAGUGAUAGAAUGGAGGAAGUUAACUACAGACAGGAAGAACAGCAUGGACAAAAGCUUUACUAACUCGCGACAUAAUGUGGUGUUAGUGAACUCAAAGUAGGUUUGCCCACUUUGCCACGGAUUGUUUUGGUAGAUUCAUUUCUUGUUCCCACAUUUCAUAGAUACUGUUCUGUAGCUCUUCACAAAGUACAGGUUUAAUACGUGGACAUAUAUGUAUUUAGAAUAUUGCUUGGUACAUGGUUAGCACGCUCUUAGUCACACUUCUGAUAACUAAGCAGCUCAACUUUGUCUGUAUAAGAUGUAAAACUACUUUCAAGCCCAACCAACAA